GUUCAGCGUGACGAUGCAGGACUCUAUAGAUGUGAUGUAGCUCUGCUAAGUGGUACAGGAUAUAUUGUGUGGAAUUUAACGGUGUACGGGGAACCUGAAGGAGUCGAUCCACUGUGGUUUUACACACUCUCAGCUGUAAUUGGAUUGCUGUGUGUUUUCACUUCAGCUGUCUGCCUCUUCAGGAAAAGCUGGACUAACACCUCAAACAAGGAGAGCAACAUCCUGAGUCACGUCCAGUUCUGUGUCCAGUUGGGAGGAGAGUCCCUGCAGGUGGCUCCACCUCCACUCCACAGCUGUGCAGUCUACAGGGCGAAUCACGAGCAGAGGGAGUCUUUGCAGAAGCUUCAGAUUCAGUUUAAAGCUGAAUAA